UUCGACGAACCUGCGCACCCAAAUGACCUGGGGAUCUACGCCGGCAAGUCGGUUACCGAUGUCAAGAAAAAGGAGCUACUGACGAGCGCAUGGACACCUGCCGCAACCUUUCCAUUCAGGCCAACGGGAACAAGGAAUUUGAAAUUUCAGUACCGGUGGCUGCAGCGAUGGAACUGGCUCGUCUAUUCAAAAAAGGAGAACGGCGCCUUUUGUGGCCAACAUCAGCAGCAAGACAAGAGAACGAGCACACAACUGCACCAAACACGCCUGUGAUGACGCAGCUGCCUUGACAGACGCAAAUCCUU
rnacentral:lncRNA from 1 species